rnacentral:sRNA from 26 species
GUUUAGCCCAGAUGGCAGUGGAAAUCCUUUUCUUUUUUUUCUUUAAAAAAAGAAAAGAUUGUAACGUACAGCUGGAAAUAGC